rnacentral:rRNA from 1 species
AGUCAAUAGAUACCCGGGUAGUCCAUGCCGUAAACGAUGAUUGCUAGGUGUGGGGGGUCUGACCCCUUCCGUGCCGGAGUUAAACACAAAUAAGCAAUCCACCUGGGGAGUACGGCCGCAAGGUUGAAACUCAAAGGAAUUGACGGGGGCCCGCACAAGCAGUGGAGUAUGUGGUUUAAUUCGAAGCAACGCGAAGAACCUUACCAGGUCUUGACAUCCACCGAAUCCUGUAGAGAUACGGGAGUGCCCUUCGGGGAACGGUGAGACAGGUGGUGCAUGGUUGUCGUCAGCUCGUGUCGUGAGAUGUUGGG